AUUAGGCCGGAAUUUGUGGGAGGAGUAAGUCCCCUACUUAAACUCCCAGCCCCUACUCACCUCUGCCGGUUCAGUUGAUUGUCUAUCUCCAUAGCAAACAGCACUUCCGGUCCGAGCUUCCCGCCAAACGGCUCCAGUAUCCUCAAGAGGUGUCCAGUGGAAUCCUCCGUCCGUCCUGCAGCCCUGCCACCAGCCUUCUUCCCGGCCGCGGUACUUUGCUUCCGGUCACGAGACCGGCACGCUCACGUAAGCUUGUGAGGGAAAUAGUGUUCGGCUAUUUCCCUCCGUUCGGGCCUAAAAACAUAGGGGUAGGCUCCCUUUUACUAUCACAUUAUCAAUUUUCGUAUACUUACCUAUUCGUGCAUUUCCGCCUUCGCGCCACUAAACUAGACGAACGCUCGCUAUACUUACGUUUCAUAGGGGCUUUCGCACGAUCUAAACUGCCGAACUACAUACGAACAUAACUCUAAAGCUAAUCUUUUCAAUUCUGUUUUUCGUUCGGUCAUACGCAGGAACCUAUGUACUUAUUACUUACCCGUUCGGGCAUUUAAUUGUGUAAACCUGUUCACCCCUCGCUAACUUUCCUAAUUCAUGCUAUUGCUAUUCGCGCGGGAGUAAACGAAUGCACAUUAUACUUAACCUAAG